rnacentral:rRNA from 1 species
CCAGACUCCUACGGGAGGCAGCAGUGGGGAAUAUUGCACAAUGGGGGGAACCCUGAUGCAGCGACGCCGCGUGGGUGAAGGAGUAUUUCGGUAUGUAAAGCCCUAUCAGCAGGGAAGAACAAUGACGGUACCUGACUAAGAAGCACCGGCUAAAUACGUGCCAGCAGCCGCGGUAAUACGUAUGGUGCAAGCGUUAUCCGGAUUUACUGGGUGUAAAGGGAGCGUAGACGGCGACGCAAGUCUGGAGUGAAAGCCCGGGGCCCAACCCCGGGACUGCUCUGGAAACUGCGUCGCUGGAGUACGGGAGGGGCAGGCGGAAUUCCUGGUGUAGCGGUGAAAUGCGUAGAUAUCAGGAGGAACACCGGCGGCGAAGGCGGCCUGCUGGACCGUGACUGACGUUGAGGCUCGAGAGCGUGGGGAGCAAACAGGAUUAGAUACCCCCGUAU